GCCUACGGGGGGCAGCAGUAGGGAAUCUUCCACAAUGGGCGAAAGCCUGAUGGAGCAACGCCGCGUGGGUGAAGAAGGUCUUCGGAUCGUAAAACCCUGUUGUUAGAGAAGAAAGUGCGUGAGAGUAACUGUUCACGUUUCGACGGUAUCUAACCAGAAAGCCACGGCUAACUACGUGCCAGCAGCCGCGGUAAUACGUAGGUGGCAAGCGUUAUCCGGAUUUAUUGGGCGUAAAGGGAACGCAGGCGGUCUUUUAAGUCCGAUGUGAAAGCCUUCGGCUUAACCGGAGUAGUGCAUUGGAAACG
rnacentral:rRNA from 1 species